GAGCAAAGCUCCUGGGUUUAGAACUCAUCAGUGUCUUGAUGGAGAUGUGGCCUGGAAAUCAGGGUCUAAUUGUUCUGGAUGCCAUACACAAGUUGGUCUCGAGAAAAGCAACUUCAGAAUCACGUGUUCUCUAUGAAUGAGCACCACUGACAGCUCCCAGGUCUGGCAUCACUAUCAACAGGUCCACUGCUCCUGGUUGUCCCACUCAGAGAUGCAGGCUGAUAGAGACUCUCUCUCCUGGAAAGUUUAUGUGGCCUCGUCUAUCAGAAACUCUUCUCAGCUGCAAUGUCAGCAGCUCAAGAGUGAAGACCAGGCGCAUGUUUCCUCCACAGGCCUGAAGGACUAGAGUUUUAAUAAUGCCUUGCGUGAUCAAAGCCGGUUGAGGUGGGGGUGUCCUGAGAUCUGAGCCUCCCUUUCUGUGCUUGCCUCAUCUGGAGGUGGAACCCAGGGUGAGGUGUGUCACAAACAAGUGAUUCUGGCUUACUCAAGCUAGACCUCCCAUGAUCUAUGACUAAUAAUAAACCAGUAGAAAAAUUAAUAAGCAGCUUAACACAAGGGAUCCUUAAAAAGUUAAUAGAAUGUGAAUAUUUUAAAUAAACAAUGCAUGAAUUUUAAUUUUUUUAAAAAUUUGCUUUUAUUUGGAAGGCAGAGUGACAGAGAGAAAAAGAAAAGAGAGAGAGAGAGAGAGAGAGAGAGAGAGAUCUCCUAACCACUGGUUUACUUCCCAAAUGCCCACAACAGCCAGGCCUGGGCCAGGCUGAAGCCAGGAGCCAGGAACUCCAUCGGAGUCUCCCACAUGGAUAUUAGGAGCUCAAGUACUUGGACCAUCAUCCUCUGCUUCCCAGGUGCAUUAGCAGGGAGCUGGAUGGGAAGCAGAGUAGCUGGGAUUCAAAUCAGUACCCCGAUAUGGGAUGCGAGUGUCCCAAGUGGUAGCUUAACUCACUGCCACACACCAGCCUCUAGAUUCAUUCAUUUAUUUAUUUGCAUCAAAAUAUACUUAUCUUUUAAUUCCAUUUUCCAUGAACUUUUUGAAGUACCCUCACACAUGGUGCUUUCUUAGUGUUUUUAAUAUAGUAACUCAUUUAAUCCUCCCAAUGUGCUUACAAGACAGAUUAUAUUAUCAUGUCCACUUUACAGAUGAGAAAACUGAAGCAUAAAAAGCUUAAAGAUUCACCUAAGGACAAAGCUACGGAGCAGCAGGGCUGGGAUUUGAACCCAGAUACUCUGGGGUUCACUGUCUGUCCCUUUAAUCACUCUCCGUUCCUGCUUUUGCUAGGAACAGGUAAGUUAGUGCUCUAGAACUGUCUCAGCGCCUUGAAUGCUGUGUAAUCUAAACUACUUCUACAAAUGAAAAAAAAAAAAAAAAGGGAGGCUAGUGGGGCUGGCCUUGUAGCAUAGCAAAUUAAGCUGUCACUUGCAAUGCUAGCAUCCCAUAUGGAAGUACUGGAUCGAGUCCCAGCUGCUCCAUUUCUCAUCCAGUUUCCAUCUACUGUGUCUGGGAAGGCAGCAGAUGAUGGACCAAGUAUUCGGACACCCAGAUGGAGUUUCUGACACCUGGCUCUGGCUUGGCCCAGCCCUGGCUGUUGCAGUCAUUGGGGGGAUAAACCAAUGAUUGGAAGAUCUCUCUCUCUCUCCCUCCCCCCUCUCUCGCUCUCUCAUUCUCUCCCUCUCUCUCUCUCUCUCUCUCAAAUACAUAAAUAAAUAAACCCUAAGAGUCCAGAGAGGAGGCCUGAGUGGCGGAAAGCACCGCAGCUAGAUGGCCCUCCACCGCAGGUCCCGCUCCUCCAGCAUGCGGUCACACGAGGGCUUGGAGCCGCCCUGCUGGACACUGCUCCUGCCUCGUGCUGGCCUCUUCUUGUUGAAAACACACAGAAACCAGCCUUGCAAGAAAGAAAGGGAUGUCCCCAUGCCCUUUGGAAAGAAGCAAAGGCUAAGGUGGCUGCUGGCAGAUGUGGGGCCCAGAGGAGCACCCACGGGGACUUGAUGUUGCUACUACUGCAUAAUAGAAAACACAGGGGAAAGAUGCACAAGGUGCCAAAAGUAGUCAAUGAACACUAGAACUUUCUUCUACCCCUGAGUCCCAGAAGCAACCAGGAUUUUACACGUUCUUUGAGACAUAGUGUAUGCCAAGGCAAUUGUAUUACUAAUCAAUUCUUUGUUGUUGUUUACACAGCUGGCUUACUUAAAGAGUCCUACUCAUUGCAAAAUUAUAUAAUACAAAGUCUCUCAUGUUUCUUCUGCAGCUUCUGUGAUUCAUUAAAAACAGUCUUUGACCUGUCUGGAAUUUAUGUUACUACAAGAUGUGCAAUGGAUCAAACUCAUUUCUUAAAAUCAAUUGUCCCAACACCAUUUGUUAAACUAUCUGGAACCCACCUAUAUUGCUACACUAAUGAUGUACUCAAAAGCUGGAAAAAUGGUGACCACUGCUGGUUGCUCCUAAUUAGGCAAUUCUUAAAAAAAGAGUAAGAAGGAGGUGGGGUAGACAGAGAAGGACACACACACACACACAAACACAGAAAGAGAGAGAGGAAGAGAGACAGAGAGAAUUUGGCUAAGAAUCCAAAUUUCUGCUGCAAAGUUAGAGCUCAGGGUGCAGUGAGUUGAUCCUGGUUGUCUCUGCAUGGGACAGUGCCUCUUCCUCUUUGACAUUCAGAUUCUAAAUGAUUUUUUUAAGAUUUUAUUUAUUUAUUUGAGAGGUAGAGUUACAGACAGUGAGAGGGAUAAACAGAGAGAAAGGUCUUCCGUCUCUUGGUUCACUCCCCAAUGGCCGCAACGGUCGGAGCUGCGCCAAUCCGAAGCCAGGAGCCAGGAGCUUCUUCCUGUUCUCCCACGUGAGUGCAGGGGCCCAAGUACUUGGACCAUCUCCUACUGCUUUCCCAGGCCACAGCAGAGAGCUGGAUUGGAAGAGGAGCAGCUGGGACUAGAACCAGUGCCCACAUGGGAUGCUGGCGCCACAGGUGGAGGAUUAACCUACUGCGCCACAGCGCUGGCCCCUACAUGAUUGUUUGAAUAAAAAAAUAAAGCAUUUGGUAGAUCUGGGAUGGAAUAAUAUUUCCAUGUGCUAACUGAUUUUUUUCAUAUAUUAACUGCAUUAUGUUGUUUAAACAAGUCUGUUAUUUCCUGUGAUACUCAUUUUUCGUUCAACUAGAUAAUGAAUUAAGAUUGGCUGCAGAAGAAAACAAAAAUAUUAAAAAAAAAAAACAACUAUGGUGGUGCUGGCGCUGUGGCAUAGCAGGUAAAGCCACCACCUGCAGUGCUGGCAUCCUAUAUGGGCUCUGGCUUGUAUCCCGGCUGCUCUACUUCUGAUCUAGCCCUCUGCUACGGCCUGGGAAAGCAAUAGAAGAUGGCCCAAGCACUUGGGACCAUGCACCCGUGUGGGAGACCUAGAAGAGGCUCCUGGCUCCUGGCUUCAGAUCAGAUCAGCUCAGCUCCAGCCAUUGCAGCCAAUUGAGAAGUGAAUCAGCAGAUGGAAGACUUCUCUCUGCCUCUCUUUCUCUCUGUGUGUAACUCUUUCAAAUAAAUAAAUAAAUCUUUUAAAAAAUUAUGGUAAGGGGCAGGCAUUUGGUGCAGUAGUUAAGAUGCUGCUUGGACACUUCCACUGUUGCCAGAAUGCCAGGAUUCCAGUCUCGGCUCUACUGCCAACCCCACUACCUGCUCAUGUGCCCCCCGGUAGGCAGCAGAUGAGGACUGAAGUGGUCGGUUCCAGUCACCCUUGUGGGAGACCCAGGCUGAGUUCCUAGCUCCUGACUUUGACCUAAGUCAACUCUGAUUGUUGCGGACCUUUAGGGAAUGAAUCAGCAAAUGAGAGCUCUCUCGCCAUCUCUCAGUCUCUCUGCCUUUCAAAUAAAAAUAAAUAAAUAAAGUUUUAAAACUCUCAGGAAAUCUGGGAUUCAAGGUUGUUUUUUUUUUUUAAAUUUUAACUAUGGUAAAAUAUCCAUAAGCAGACCAUUUUACCCGUUGGUAAGUGCACAUUUCUGUGCAGGAAGUGCGUUCAUGUUAGUGUGCAACCGCACCACCAUCUCUCUCCAGGACUGUGUCAUCUUUCCAGACUGAAGCCCUGUCAACAUUAAAGAUGAAUUCUCCAGUCCUCUCCCCAGCAUCCCAGUCCCCGGGAAACCCCCACUCUAUUUUCCGUUUCUCGAUGUUUGACCACUCUAGGUACCACACAGAAAUGCAGUCAGACCAUGUUUAUCCUUCUGUUUGGCUAAUUUCACUUGACGUGAUGUUUCAAAGGUUCAUCCAUGUUGUGGCCUGUGUCAGAAUGUCCUUCCAUUGUAAGCCUGUGUAAAUCCAUUGCAUGUAUGCUCCACAUUUUGUUUGUCUACUCGUUCAUCAAUAGACAUUUGCAUUGCUUCUAUUUUUUUUUUUUUUUGGCUACCGUGAAUAAUGCUGCUACAAACAUGGGGAUACAUAUAUAUCUGUCCAAAUCCCUGCUCUCGCUUCUUUUGCCUAUGUGCCCAGAAUUGGAAUUGCUGGACCAUACAGUAAUUCUGUUUUUAAUUUCUUUGAGGAAUCAUGAUACCAUUUUCCCCUGAGGCUGCACCACUUUACAUUACCACCAGCAAUGCACAAAUGUUCCAAUUCCACCACACCAUGAUCAGCACUUCAUAGUUUCUGUCUCUUGUUGUUUUGCUAAUACCCAGGCUAAUGGAUGUGGAGAGAGAUCUCAUGGUGGUUUUGAUCCACAUUUUCUUAGUAACUAUUGAUAUUGAGCAUCUUUUCAUGUGCUUAUUGGCCAUUUGUACAUAUUCUUGGGAGCAAAAACUUUUUUGAAUUUCAAAAGUUUCAUCUUUGAGGUAGCAAAAUCUUUGGUGGGUGGUGGUAGGGAGAAUGCGAUAAAGGGAAUUAGAAUACAGCUAAGUGGAAAAAACUGUGUGGGCCAGGGGAGGAGAGACAUUCAAGGGAGAAGCAGGAGCAUUCAACAGGGUUGCAUGUCCUAGGGAAGGAGCCUCUUCCUGCCACCCUCUCUCAACAGGAAGUCUGGUGGGAGGGAGGGAAGGAGGAAGGGAGGGAGAGAGAGAGGAAGGAAGCCCCAAAUAGGUUUGAGUGGGUUCAAGAGCAGAGAUAAUCUGUGUUAUCGUCAGACUCAGCUGGCUUGGAGGAGUAGAGUAGCCAUGGCCGAAGGGGUGUCUGGGUAGACAGUUGGAAGACGGCUGCAUAGGCUGUACUGCAGUAGAGCGACGGGAAGCAGCAGAAUGUUCUCUCUGUGCUUGUGAGAUGCAGUGGUCCUAGCAAGGACACUGCAGUGCCCUGGAUGGAUAAAUGACCCUACGAGCAAUGACAUUUCAGGGAAUGCUAGAACACAUACUUGGCUCCUGAGGAGCCGACCGUACCCCAGGGCCUCAGUCCCAUCUAAGCCCUUGGAACAAGAACGCAACCUCAAGGAAAGUUGAAAGAAAAUCCUGCACUGUCCAAGAAUAACCGUCUGACUCCUGCCAGAUAGAGGCUUGCAAUAGAAACACACGCAACACAACCAUAAAGGACAUUGCUUGCCUCUUUGAUUUGGGGGUGAAGAUUCAUAACUUGGAUAAUCCAAACAUUGAAGUCCUUGCCACAGCGGAAGAGGCACAUUAGGCCCCACUGUCCCAGAGGGGAAUGAGACCCCAGUGAAGUGGCUCAGGAAGCAGAAUGAGCAGGUGGAUAAUGAACGCAACUUUCUUUUUCUUCCCUUGUAAAGCACUUCACAUUUCAAGGCACUUUUGAUCUGUUACCUGAUUAGGCUGUCGACUCUGUGAGGUUCAAAGAGGCAGGUUUUAUUAUUAUCCCUAUCCUACAAACAAGGUCACUGAGAACGACAACAAAAGCUAUCACGUGGCCAAAACCAACAAUAGACUAGAGCAGAUUUUCUCAGCUUUGGCACUGUUGACAUUUAAGGCGGGUGAUUCUCUGUUACGGAGGCUGUCCUGUGCACGAUAGGGUGUUGGGGCAGUGUCUCUGGCCUCUAUGCACUAGAAGCCUAUGGCACCGCUCGGUGGUGACAACCCGGAGUAUCUCCAAGCAUUGCCAAAGGCCCCACACCACCCCCUGGAGAGCCUUCACCCUCCUCCCCUGGUUGGGAACCACUAACCUGGAACAAGGGCCGGGCUUGACCCCGUGUCCUACCUCCUGGGUCAGAGAACGUAGAGGAAACCCAGUACUUCUCCCCAGCCCCGGGUCCAGUCUACCCUUCUCCCAGCAGGCUUGAAACCACCUUCCCGUGGUCUCCCAACACAACCCCUGAAUGGGACUUGCACCUUCAUCUCAGCCUUUUCCAUUUCUGUGCAAAAUUGCGAGCUUCAGAAAGCUUCAGUCAUUUGUCCUACAGCACGCAGUGGGUGUGUGCAGACGCUGGUACUAGGAUGCGUCUCCCAUCUGAAAGCCAGGGUUCACCACUGCCACCUCCUCAAUGCGGGAGCUGACAGCGGCUCGGGAGCGCUUCAGAGCAGCCGUGGGAAGACAAGCAGGGUAUUUCCUGGUUAGCUGUCCCUCUUUAAGGGUUAUUUUUAGCAAAAUGAGGGGAAAUCAGCAUUCCGCUCAAUGGAAACUAUGUUUGGCAUUAAUUCAUUGUUAAUUGACCAGGAUGAGUAAAAAGAUGGCUACUUCCAAGGCCUCUCUAAUGGAACUAUUAGUGAAUUUUCAGGUCAACUAACUCCUGUCACUGCCUGACAAGGGAAAUGGCAAUCAUUUGCCAGUGUGAACAAGGCUCCUGCUGCACUUGGAAACUGGAAUCAGUCAUCCCGGGCUGUCAGGCUCCGUGUCUCCACUCCGUGGGUAAUUCCCCAGCCCAGCCCAGCCCCUCCACCCCAGAAAUCCGUGUCUUCAACUUGAGUGGCUCCAGGUUUGCCCUGUAUGUAUGUAAUAUUUACCACCUCGACAGAGUUUUCAUGGGACUCGGGGAUGGGCCUUCAUGCAGUGUUAGAGCUAGCAAAGGUUACCAUCGCUCCCAUUUGCCAAGGUGGACCCUGAAGCUCAGGUAGUCGCUUGAUUUGCCAAAGGUUUCAGCUCAAUGCCAGGGGAGGUUUCCCGCUCGGUAUCACCGACCCAUCCUGGAUCACUAGUUCUCGGUGGCUUUGCUCUGCAUCGUCACCUACCCCUUCUUUCCUCACUUUGCUUUUCUCUUUUUUUUUUUUUUUCUCUCUCAAUGACACUUAUUUUUCCCCCCAUAUAUUUUUCCUUCUUUCCAAGCCUGAAGGGCUGGAGAGCUGGGAGAGUUGGGUCAGUGGGAAGACACUCCAGUCACUGUAUCUAACCUCGUUUGCUCAUCCAACGAGUGAAGAUCCCCUGGGUUCCAGAGAUGGUAUAUGUGCUGGGGGUGCGUGGCCAGGAAGCUGGAGCCCCUCAGUGUGGCUCUCCAGACCCCAGCAUUUGGUCUGAACUUUCCCUUCCAGCUUUCUCUUGAGCCAGUUCAUGUCAUACAAUGCACACUUCAGUCAUGCUAAAAUCAUCUCCACUCACCGAGCCUGUCUUAUGCUUCCACUGUCUCUUUUCACUUUGUCAUUGUAUGUGUGGUUUUUCUCUGUACCCAUCUCCCUCCACUGUCAGGCAAAUUCCUGAUCUCAUGUUAAGGCCCUUGCAUGUGUCACCUCCUUUAUAAAACCUCCUCUGCUUUUCAUGGCAAAGCUAAUCAGUCACUCCUCUUUUUGCUAUGAUGAUUUUUUAAAAUGAUUUAUUUAUUUGUUUGAAAGGCAGAGUUUUACAGAGAGAGGGAGAGAGCUCUUCCAUCUGCUGGUUUGCCCCCCACAGGGCUACAAUGGCCAGAGCUGGACCUGUUUGAAGCCAGGAACUUCUUCCAGGUCUCCCGGGUGGUUACAGAGGCCCAAGGACUUGAGCCAUUUUCUACUGCUUUCCCAGGCACAUUCACAGGGACCUGGAUCAGAAGUGGAGCAGCCAGGACUUGAACAGGUGCCUAUAUAGGAUGCCAGUACUGAAGGCAGCGGUCUUACCCACUGUACCACAAUGUUGUUCCCUGCUAUGAUGAUUAGUUCACACUUCUGCUGUAAAGGGUUCAGGUUGUACUGUCAUUAUUUCUAUUCAUGUCUGACUGCUAACUUAACUGGGCAAAGGGAUGUCUGGAGGGCUGGCAAAACAUAAUUUCUGAAUGUGUUGGUGAAGAAGUUUCUGGAAGAGAUUAGCAUAUGGACUAAUGGAGUCAGUACAUGGGCUACCCCAAUGUAGAUGAACUGUGUCCAAUCCAGGGGUGGGGGUAGGGAGGCGUGAAUAAAAGAGAAAGGCAGUGGAAGGGAGGAGUCUCUCUGUUUUUAAGCAGGGGCCUGCGUCUCCUCCUUACUGCAGAUGUCAGUCCUCCUGCCUCUCAGGCCUUCAGGCUCAGACCCUGCCUGCACCAUUGGUUCCCUGGUUCUGACUUUGGGCCGUGGACUGAAUUACAGACACCCCACUCUCUAGCUUGCAGGUGGCAGGUUGUGAGACUUCUCAGCCUCCAUCAUCGUGUGAGCCAAGUCUCAUAAA